rnacentral:rRNA from 1 species
GAUGAACGCUAGCGGCAGGCCUAAUACAUGCAAGUCGUACGGGAUUGAGGACUUCGGUUCUCAUGAGAGUGGCGCACGGGUGCGUAACACGUAUGCAACCUACCUUUAACUGGGGGAUAGCCUUUCGAAAGAGAGAUUAAUACCGCAUAAAACAGCAGCACUGCAUGGUGUAACUGUUAAAGCUUCGGUGGUUAAAGAUGGGCAUGCGUUGCAUUAGCUAGUUGGUAAGGUAACGGCUUACCAAGGCUACGAUGCAUAGGGGAUCUGAGAGGAUGAUCCCCCACACUGGUACUGAGACACGGACCAGACUCCUACGGGAGGCAGCAGUAAGGAAUAUUGGUCAAUGGGCGCAAGCCUGAACCAGCCAUGCCGCGUGCAGGAAGACGGCCCUAUGGGUUGUAAACUGCUUUUAUCGGGGAAUAAACCUCAUUACGUGUAAUGAGUUGAAGGUACCCGAAGAAUAAGGAUCGGCUAACUCCGUGCCAGCAGCCGC